AUUGAACGCUGGCGGCAGGCCUAACACAUGCAAGUCGAACGGUAACAGGAAGACGCUUGCUUCUUUGCUGACGAGUGGCGGACGGGUGAGUAAUGUCUGGGAAACUGCCUGAUGGAGGGGGAUAACUACUGGAAACGGUAGCUAAUACCGCAUAACGUCGCAAGACCAAAGAGGGGGACCUUCGGGCCUCUUGCCAUCGGAUGUGCCCAGAUGGGAUUAGCUAGUAGGUGGGGUAACGGCUCACCUAGGCGACGAUCCCUAGCUGGUCUGAGAGGAUGACCAGCCACACUGGAACUGAGACACGGUCCAGGCUCCUACGGGAGGCAGCAGUGGGGAAUAUUGCACAAUGGGCGCAAGCCUGAUGCAGCCAUGCCGCGUGUAUGAAGAAGGCCUUCGGGUUGUAAAGUACUUUCAGCGGGGAGGAAGGGAGUAAAGUUAAUACCUUUACUCAUUGACGUUACCCGCAGAAGAAGCACCGGCUAACUCCGUG
rnacentral:rRNA from 1 species